rnacentral:tRNA from 1 species
CUCCUGAUAGCUCAGUUGGUAAAGAAUCCACCUGCAAUGCGGAAGACCCGGGUUCAAUCCCUGUUGGGAAG